UACAGAGGGGGGCAAGCGUUUAUUCGGAAUUAUUGGGCGUAAAGGGCGCGUAGGCGGCUUUGCAAGUGGCGGGUGAAAAUCCCUCGGCUUAACCGAGGAACUGCCUGUCAAACUGCAUGGCUUGAGACCGGGAGAGGUGAGUGGAAUUCCCAGUGUAGCGGUGAAAUGCGUAGAUAUUGGGAGGAACACCAGUGGCGAAGGCGGCUCACUGGACCGGUACUGACGCUGAUGCGCGAAAGCGUGGGGGAGCAAACAGG
rnacentral:rRNA from 1 species